GUUUACCUUCAGCCUAAUGCCCUGAUAGAUGGUUUACCUUCAGCCUAAUGCCCUGAUAGAUGGUUUACCUUCAGCCUAAUGCCCUGAUAGAUAGUUUACCUUCAGCCUAAUGCCCUGAUAGAUAGUUUACCUUUAGCCUAAUGCCCUGAUAGAUGGUUUACCUUUAGCCUAAUGCCCUGAUAGAUAGUUUACCUUCAGCCUAAUGCCCUGAUAGAUAGUUUACCUUCAGCCUAAUGCCCUGAUAGAUAGUUUACCUUCAGCCUAAUGCCCUAAAACAUGGUUUACCUUCAGCCUAAUGCCCUGAUAGAUGGUUUACCUUCAGCCUAAUGCCCUGAUAGAUGGUUUACCUUCAGCCUAAUGCCCU